rnacentral:rRNA from 1 species
AGCGAACGCUGGCGGCAGGCCUAACACAUGCAAGUCGAACGAACUCUUCGGAGUUAGUGGCGGACGGGUGAGUAACACGUGGGAACGUGCCUUUAGGUUCGGAAUAACUCAGGGAAACUUGUGCUAAUACCGAAUGUGCCCUUCGGGGGAAAGAUUUAUCGCCUUUAGAGCGGCCCGCGUCUGAUUAGCUAGUUGGUGAGGUAAAGGCUCACCAAGGCGACGAUCAGUAGCUGGUCUGAGAGGAUGAUCAGCCACAUUGGGACUGAGACACGGCCCAAACUCCUACGGGAGGCAGCAGUGGGGAAUCUUGCGCAAGGGGCGAAAGCCUGACGAAGCCAUGCCGGGUGAAUGAUGAAGGUCUUAGGAUUGUAAAAUUCUUUCACCGGGGACGAUAAUGACGGUACCCGGAGAAGAAGCCCCGGCUAACUUCGUG